UACGUAGGGGGCAAGCGUUGUCCGGAAUUAUUGGGCGUAAAGAGCGCGUAGGCGGUCCGGUAAGUCAGCUGUGAAAGUCAAGGGCUCAACCCUUGAAAGCCGGUUGAUACUGUCGGGCUAGAGUCCGGAAGAGGCGAGUGGAAUUCCCGGUGUAGCGGUGAAAUGCGUAGAGAUCGGAAGGAACGUCAAUGGCGAAGGCAGCCACCUGGCAUCAUACUGACGCUGAGGCGCGAAAGCGUGGGGAGCGAACAGG
rnacentral:rRNA from 1 species